GGGGGGGGCAAGCGUUGUUCGGAAUUACUGGGCGUAAAGGGCGCGUAGGCGGUCCCGCAAGUCCUCCGUGAAAUCCCACAGCUCAACUGUGGAACUGCGAGGGAAACUGCAGGACUUGAGUCCGGGAGAGGAGAGUGGAAUUCCCAGUGUAGCGGUGAAAUGCGUAGAUAUUGGGAGGAACACCGGUGGCGAAGGCGGCUCUCUGGACCGGUACUGACGCUGAGGCGCGAAAGCUAGGGGAGCAAACGGGAUUAGAUACCCCGGGUAGUCCUAGCCUUAAACGAUGAGCACUUGGUGUGGCGGGUAUCGACCCCCUGCCGUGCCGAAGCUAACGCAUUAAGUGCUCCGCCUGGGGAGUACGGUCGCAAGGCUG
rnacentral:rRNA from 1 species